UACGUAGGGUCCGAGCGUUGUCCGGAAUUACUGGGCGUAAAGAGCUCGUAGGUGGUUUGUCGCGUUGUUCGUGAAAACACACAGCUUAACUGUGUGCUUGCUUCCGAUACGGGCAGACUAGAGGUAUGCAGGGGAGAACGGAAUUCCUGGUGUAGCGGUGAAAUGCGCAGAUAUCAGGAGGAACACCGGUGGCGAAGGCGGUUCUCUGGGCAUUACCUGACGCUGAGGAGCGAAAGUGUGGGGAGCGAACAGG
rnacentral:rRNA from 1 species